GUGGGGAAUAUUGGACAAUGGGCGAAAGCCUGAUCCAGCCAUGCCGCGUGAGUGAUGAAGGCCUUAGGGUUGUAAAGCUCUUUCAGUAGGGAAGAUAAUGACGGUACCUACAGAAGAAGCCCCGGCUAACUUCGUGCCAGCAGCCGCGGUAAUACGAAUGGGGCUAGCGUUGUUCGGAUUUACUGGGCGUAAAGCGCACGUAGGCGGAUUGGUCAGUUAGAGGUGAAAUCCUGGAGCUCAACUCCAGAACUGCCUUUAAUACUGCCAGUCUAGAGUCCAGAAGAGGUGAGUGGAACUCCUAGUGUAGAGGUGGAAUUCGUAGAUAUUAGGAAGAACACCAGUGGCGAAGGCGGCUCACUGGUCUGGUACUGACGCUGAGGUGCGAAAGCGUGGGGAGCAAACAGGAUUAGAAACCCGUGUAGUCC
rnacentral:rRNA from 1 species